CGAACGGGUGAGUAACGCGUGAGGAACCUGCCUCAAAGAGGGGGACAACAGUUGGAAACGACUGCUAAUACCGCAUAAGCCCACGGCUCGGUAUCGAGCAGAGGGAAAAGGAGUGAUCCGCUUUGAGAUGGCCUCGCGUCCGAUUAGCUAGUUGGUGAGGUAACGGCCCACCAAGGCAACGAUCGGUAGCCGGACUGAGAGGUUGAACGGCCACAUUGGGACUGAGAUACGGCCCAG
rnacentral:rRNA from 1 species